UACGAAGGGGGCUAGCGUUGCUCGGAAUCACUGGGCGUAAAGCGCACGUAGGCGGUUUGCUAAGUCAGGGGGGAAAUCCUGGAGCUCAACUCCAGAACUGCCUUUGAUACUGGCGGACUUGAGUCCGGGAGAGGUGAGUGGAACUGCGAGUGUAGAGGUGAAAUUCGUAGAUAUUCGCAAGAACACCAGUGGCGAAGGCGGCUCACUGGCCCGGUACUGACGCUGAGGUGCGAAAGCGUGGGGAGCAAACAGG
rnacentral:rRNA from 1 species